rnacentral:rRNA from 1 species
GAGUUUGAUCCUGGCUCAGGACGAACGCGGCGGCGUGCUUAACACAUGCAAGUCGAACGAAAUUAAAAAAUUAUCAUUGAGCUCUCCGAUGAGAUGGGAGCCAAGCGUCGUGACCGCGGAGCGGGCACCACGCGUUCAACAAGUGCAACACCAAGUCGAAGGGUUGAAUGGUAAUUUUUUAAUUUAGUGGCAAACGGGUGAGUAACACGUAGACAACCUGCCGACAGGAUGGGGACAACAUUCCGAAAGGAAUGCUAAUACCGAAUGAAGCGGAGGAGAGGCAUCUCUCCUCCGUGAAAGAUGGCCUCUAUUUAUAAGCUAUCACCUGUUGAUGGGUCUGCGUCUGAUUAGCUAGUUGGUGAGGUAACGGCUCACCAAGGCGACGAUCAGUAGCCGGUCUGAGAGGAUGAACGGCCACAUUGGGACUGAGACACGGCCCAGACUCCUACGGGAGGCAGCAGUGGGGAAUCUUCCGCAAUGGGCGCAAGCCUGACGGAGCAACGCCGCGUGAGUGAAGAAGGUCUUCGGAUCGUAAAGCUCUGUUGACGGGGACGAACGUGCGGAGUGCGAAUAGCGCUUGUAAUGACGUACCUUCGAGGAGCCUG